GUCAGACAUCAGCAAAUGGUGACCUGAUAAAUUCAAAGGACAUACUUUAGGCUUUGCAACUUGAAGCCUCUCUCUUUUGACUCGAGUAUUCUACAAAACUGCCAUUGUUCUAAAAGACAAAGAAAGGCUCCGGAACUGUUCCAGAUGAAAGAGACUACAGAGAACAGCCGAAUGUAGCAGGUACACUGCAACACCUAGAGGAGGAAAACAAAAGCUGGGAAGGACGCCAUUCAGCUGACCGACUGGAAUGUAAACUUAAGUUCUUCAAAGGAACUGUUUCACGGUUAACAGUUCCUGCAGCGGAUAACUGUACUGUGGUUACAUAACACAAUGUCCUUUUUCU